AAUCUCAUUCUUUCUAUUCGGUAC
rnacentral:siRNA from 1 species